AGAGGUGUAGCUCAAUGGUAGAGCAUCUGCUUUGCAUGUAGAAGGUCUCAGUUUUAAUUCCCAACAUCUCCU